ensembl:snRNA U6 U6 spliceosomal RNA
GUGCUCGUUUCAGCAGCACAUAUACUAAAACUGGAUACAGAGAAGAUUAGCAUGGCCCCUGUGCAAGGAUGACACACAAAUUCAUGAAGCAUUCCAUAUUUUU